rnacentral:rRNA from 1 species
AUUGAACGCUGGCGGCAGGCCUAACACAUGCAAGUCGAGCGGAUGAGAGGAGCUUGCUCUUCGAUUCAGCGGCGGUCGGGUGAGUAAUGCCUAGGAAUCUGCCCAGUAGUGGGGGACAACGUUUCGAAAGGAACGCUAAUACCGCAUACGUCCUACGGGAGAAAGUGGGGGAUCUUCGGACCUCACGCUAUUGGAUGAGCCUAGGUCGGAUUAGCUAGUUGGCAGGGUAAAGGCCUACCAAGGCGACGAUCCGUAACUGGUCUGAGAGGAUGAUCAGUCACACUGGAACUGAGACACGGUCCAGACUCCUACGGGAGGCAGCAGUGGUGAAUAUUGGACAAUGGGCGCAAGCCUGAUCCAGCCAUGCCGCGUGUGUGAAGAAGGCCCUCGGGUCGUAAAGCACUUUAAGUUGGGAGGAAGGGCUUACAGCGAAUACCUGUGAGUUUUGACGUUACCGACAGAAUAAGCACCGGCUAACUUCGUGCCAGCCGCCGCAGUAA